rnacentral:rRNA from 1 species
AACGCCGCGUGGAGGAAGAAGGUCUUCGGAUCGUAAACUCCUGUCAGGUGGGACGAAGGUGCGUCGGCAAACAGUCGGCGUACUUGACGGUACCGCCAGAGGAAGCCCCGGCUAACUCCGUGCCAGCAACGGCGGUGACUGAGCGGGCUGGCAAGGCGCAUA